GCAAUAAUAUUCUUGUUUGCUCCCGCGUAAAACGACUUCGAGUCGCCGCCGUCAACAUUUUGGAGCCUGCACACGGUUUCAUAACAUAAACAUAGAAAUUCCGAAUGCGCUUCUCGCAAGAGGGGCGUUAUUGCGUUGCGAAAGUGAUAAAUAGUAAUGGCGUAUUUUUGUAGGCACUAAAACUGCGCCAUGGACAAAGCCUAUGGGAAAAAAUGUGUUUUUGUAGGAUUUUUGGAAAACGCCAAAAAUAAGGGGUAGCUGAAUGACUUCCGGGGUUUAAGACUACAAGCUGGCGAGCUCUAUUGACACGCAGACGCACGCAGAAAUGCCUUUACGCAACGACGUCACUUCAGGAGGGUGAAUUGUGGCAUGUAUUAAACAAAC